GUGAUGAUGAUCUAACAGUAUCUGAUUGAUUAAGUAGGAGCUAGCUGUUCUCAUGAUAAAAUGUGAUAGGCCUGUCAAUUGUCUUGUAGAUAAACUGUCCAUGUCAUCCAUUACAUUUAAUGGAAUGCCCUCCUCUCAAAGCCAAAGUAUAGCUGAGUACAACAAAACAACUUAAAAUUCACAAAACUAUGUGAUGUCCUUUCAUUAUUAAAACUUGUGUGGUGCCAUUAUUUUAAUUUUUAUUCAAAUUGAUUUAAACACUUUCCACCUAAUUAUACAAUUUCCACAUGCUUUAGAAACAAAUAAAUUGGCUUGACUUUAUGGUGUUAGCUAUGUAAUAGGUGACAGCAUGCCACAAUAACAAAACAGCUAUUAUGGCUUUCUUCAAGUGUGUUCUCGUUUGCUUAUGAAUACCAACAUUUCCUGUACCCUUUUCCUUUAUUUUUCACUAAAGUUGAGAUAGAUGACGUGCCUGCUGUGGACUGUCCACAAGGAACGGACUCCAUGUCUGCUGAAGUAACAUCGCAUUCAGAACCAGAAUAGAGGACAAGCCUCAACAGUUGUUGGCACUCCAAGAUCCAACGUUGUCUACCCAAAACAAUCAAAAGAGUGGAUUGCGCGGCUGAUAUAUCAACCCACCGCUCAAAGAUUCAGGGAUGACCUGAUGGAGAGCAUCCUGCAGAGACGAAUGGACAAAUACUUGGAGCCCAAAUCCUGUGGAAAAGGCUGUCGUUUGGCUGCCAACAUAACCCCAUGCAAAAACCCAGCAAGGAGGAGGUCAUUACUGUUAUCUCCAUUAGCUAUUCUUCCUUGGGUCCACACAAACACAACAAGUAACAAAACACUUAGCUCUGAUGGACAAUUGCAGCACACACAUCAAGAUUCAAGUACACUUGGGGCUAUUCUGACACCCCCAACUGACAUGGUCCUCCGUGCACUACUACCUAAUACACUUAUUGUAACAUCAUUUGUUAGCCUCUGGUCAUUAGCUGUCUGCAUCUUUAAUGGGGAAAAAAUCCAUUCACUUUAGACUACCGUUAUGCCUACUUUGUACCAUCUAUUUUAUUGUAUAUUUACUUUUUAUUGCUGUGAAUUGUGUGAAUGUCUUGUCUAUACUGUGUAUUGUAUAUUAUGUGCAGUGAUCUGUAUUGUGUUGUAUAAAAUAAAUAAUUGCCAGUU